rnacentral:lncRNA from 1 species
CCUGGCUUGGGGCCUGUGAAGCUAAGGCUCUGUACCCAAAGGUUGGCAGACAAGUCCCAGUGGGCAAAGUCCUGUCGGCUGCCAGGACCCCCAAGGCUGGCAGGUGGAACCCAUCCCUCCUAGCAGUGCCAUGCGCAGGUCUCACUGUUCCACACUGAUCCUGAUUGAAGCCACAUCUCCUCAUCUGCGUUUGUCCCUUUGACCAAAAGAGUUGAUUCACUAGCCCAACUAAACAUGACUGAGGACCAGGCUCUGGCAGUCCCACAGGGGCCAGACAUGAAGCCCAUAUUUCAGUGGAGGAGGGAUCGUACCAGCAGCUAAACAUGCCUACCGUAGAUAGCACCAGAUGCUAGGAAGGAAGGACCAUAAUGUACUGGGAGAGAUGGGAAAGGAGAGGCCAGGGACAGCCCUGAGGUGACAUGUGAGUGGAAAGAGCGGAGUGCAAAGGCCUCAGCUAUGAUGAGUCCUACAGGGAGAGCAAUUCAGGUAGAGGGGUUGGCAAAGACCCAAGCCCUACAGAAAGCAAACAAGCUGGGGCAGCGACCAUCAGGGGCACAUGGCAGAGAGGUGGGCUUUGUGUCCCAACACAGUGGGAAUCACUGGAGACUUUGAAGCAUGGUCAUAUUUUCAAGUCACUUGCAGCUGUGUAGGAGUGGAAGUAGAAGGUGAGUACCCUGCAGGUCUCGGCAGCUUUGAUGAGAACAAGGCCGCUUAGCCAGGGCCGGGUGCAGAAGCAGUGGCAAGGAUCCCCCAGACCUGGGAGACCUCACUGCCAACCAAGCAGGAGGUGUCAAAAAGGAAAGGGGAGCCCAGAGAAGGGCUGGACUUCGGGGAAGCAAGCCCCUGCUUCUGACCCUUGGCUCCGGCUGGACUUUCCUUUGAUUCAUUUGACAAGUAGUUGCUGGCCUCUGCAGUGUGCCAGAGCUUUCUUGGAGGGGUACAGGGGUAGGAAAACCAAAAGCCACCCUCAGGGCCUCCAUCCAGGAAGGCGUGGCAUGGUGGGCGGCGAGGAAGGCUGCUGAGUCAACAAGGUGGUCCCAGGAAGGUGGAGGGAGCAUCUUCCCAUGUCUCUCCCACUGACAGCCACCAAUCCUGGACAGAUGCAGGAGCAGCUGUCAGUAGACAGAUAAGAAAAGGAGAUCAGAUUCAAAGUUCCGCAGAGAAGUGGUGAGGUAACCAGUAUUGCCUAGCCUGGACACACAGGCAGCUUGAAACCUCAAGUGCACCAACAGAAAGAGCUCCAGGAAGAAUCAGAGGAGUGGGAUGUGAAGCCCCUCGAGGUUAUCCAAAAUAACCCAGAGUAUGAAAACCAGGAAAAUCUCAACAUGGGAGAAAAGAAGAUGAUCAAUACAUGCCCAUCCUGAGAUGAUUCAACUAUUGGAAUGAUCAGAUACAGACUUCAAAGCAGCUAUUUAUAACCAGCCUUCAGAAAGUAUUGGUGAAUAUUCUUAAACAAAAUGGAAAUGACAAAGGAUGGAGUCCAUAAAUUAGAUGAUAGUUUGGAAAAAGAUAUAAACUUACAAACCAAGAAGCUCAGUGAACCACACAACUGGAUAAAUUAACAACAAAAGUCCAAGCUUAGACACAUCAUAAAGAAACUUCUGAAAACUAAAGACCAAGAAAAAUAAGAUCAGCCAGAGAAAAACGAUACAUUUCAUUCAGGUGAACAAUUCUUUGAAAGACUGGAUCUUCACCAGAAACUAUAGAGGCCAGAAAGAAGUGGAACAUUUUUAGUUUUGAAAUAAUUGUCACCCAAGAAUUCUAUAUCCAGUAAAAAUUUCUAUUUUACUGGAAUAAAAGAAUGAAAUAAAAUAAAGACAUUCUCAAAUGAAGGCAAGCUGAGGAAAUUCAUAACCAAAGAAUCUGCUUUAAAAAAAUGUUAAACCAAGUUCUUCAGACAGAAGAGGUUACUGGGGGCAAUUCAAAACUUUGGGAAUGCAGGAAGAACAUCAUAAAUGGCAAAAGUCCACAUAAAUAUGAAACUAUUCUUUACUUCUUUAAGAGUUAUGUGAUGGUUGAAUUAAGUCAUGAUACUGUCUGAUGGAGGCUUCAGUGUAUACAGAUGUAAGACAACUAGAACAUGAGGGGAGAAGGGUGAAGGGACCUAGAUGGUAGUGAGGUUUCUACAUGCUACUUGAAAUGGCAAAACAUUAAUCUAAAUUGACUGUAAGAGUAUGUGUAUUUGGCCGGGCAGGGUGGCUCAUGCCUGUAAUCCCAGCAUUUUGGGAGGCCAAGGUGGGUGGAUCACCUAAAGUCAGGAGUUCGGGACUAGCCUGACCAACAUGGCAAAACCCUGUCUCUAUUAAAAAUACAAAAUUAG